CAUGACAAUCACAGAAGUGUUCUAAGAACAUCAAACUGUCAGUGGUAUGUAGUAUGAACUAGAAGAAGAUGGAUCUUGAAGAAGAAAAAAGAUCAAUCAGUUUACCUCAUUCAACCUUCACUGCAAUCAAGGAGGAAGCUUUAUCAUCCCUAUCUGACAGAACUGAGGACAUGGCUGAAGGAGAUUAAAAGCACAUUUGGAAAUACCGCUUUAGAUACUCUACAAGUUAACCUUGGAAUAAACCAGACUAUCAGAGGGCAUUGUCACUCACUGACGGAUUUCUUUCAUUCCUCUCUGCUUUGGCAUUAGGCAGUCAGCCACAUCAAGAGACUUCAUAAGAAACAGCCCUGUAACUCAUUUGUUGCUUUCCUGUAAGAAUGUUGUCAAGGACAUUAUUUACUUCAUUACAAAGGGUCUUCUUUGUGCUGGAGAAACUUCUCUCAGAUCUCUGUGCCAGGAAGAAUGGUGUUUCUCUCAAACACUGGGUUUGAUAUUACAGAUAGUAUAAACUAUAUAUCCAGGCACAUCCUCCUUUAGUGAGUAUAUACAAACUGGCUUCACUUCAUUUUUUUCAUCUUCCAACUUCUCCAUAAUAAUAUUUACUUUUAAAAAUGUUCUUAACAAUGAAUAUGACCAAGACAAUUUGAGGAAACCAAUCAUAAACUUUGUGUCAAUAUAGUAAGCAUGUUUCCUGCAGGGAGAUACCACUGUUCCCACUAAAAUAGAACACAACAAAAGGAGGCAGGAGAGAAAUGAAUGACUUAGGACCUGUCUAGGUUGAAAAGGCAAACUAGAAGUGGGGCACACCUAACUUGUUUAAAAAGACUUUGUCAACUAUUAUUUGUGUACUCUUGGCAUUUCUGUGUUCUCCUCAUUCCUAUUUCAUUCCUAUUCCCCUUUAAUAUUUCCUUUACAUACCUGAUACCUUCCCUCCCAAAAAUGGUGUGUGUCUAUGUAGUUCCUUGAUGAUUUUGUCAACGAAUAAUAAACCCUGGGUUUUGGAUAAGGAGGUGAAAAGAAAGGGCUCUGCUUGAUUCUGGGGAAGAGUAAGGGAUAUCAACCGAGUGCCACUCAAAAAGGUUCAGGAACAAAUGCAACCGGUUGGAGUGUAGUUGCGUG
rnacentral:lncRNA from 10 species